UACGUAGGGAGCAAGCGUUGUCCGGAAUCAUUGGGCGUAAAGCGCGCGUAGGUGGCUUCAUAAGUCCGUUGUGAAAGUCAAAGGCUCAACCUUUGAAAGCCGAUGGAUACUGUGAAGCUAGAGUACGGAAGAGGCGAGUGGAAUUCCUGGUGUAGCGGUGGAAUGCGCAGAUAUCGGGAAGAACACCCGUGGCGAAGGCGGCUCUCUGGGACGGUACUGACGCUGAGACGCGAAAGCGUGGGGAGCGAACAGG
rnacentral:rRNA from 1 species